AAUGAACGCUGGCGGCAUGCCUUACACAUGCAAGUCGAACGGCAGCAUGACCUAGCUUGCUAGGUUGAUGGCGAGUGGCGAACGGGUGAGUAAUGCAUCGGAACGUGCCUUUUAGUGGGGGAUAACGUAGCGAAAGUUACGCUAAUACCGCAUAUUCUCUGAGGAGGAAAGCAGGGGACCUUCGGGCCUUGCGCUAGAAGAGCGGCCGAUGUCGGAUUAGCUAGUUGGUGAGGUAAAGGCUCACCAAGGCAACGAUCCGUAGCGGGUCUGAGAGGAUGAUCCGCCACCCUGGGACUGAGACACGGCCCAGACUCCUACGGGAGGCAGCAGGGGGGAAUUUUGGACAAUGGGCGCAAGCCUGAUCCAGCCAUGCCGCGUGAGUGAAGAAGGCCUGCGGGUUGUAAAGCUCUUUCGGCUGGGAAGAAAUCGCACCCUCUAAUACAGGGUGUGGAUGACGGUACCAGCAUAAGAAGCACCGGCGAACUACGG
rnacentral:rRNA from 1 species